rnacentral:lncRNA from 1 species
UGAAACUGGCCUAGUGUUGUCAGGGGUGGAUCUACCAUUUAAGUUACAAGUUCGACAGAACUCAAUAGCUUUGGCUCAAACUUUGUGUUUAUGUUAAGAAAUUCACUUAGUAUGUACGAAAAAUCUAUUCAGAAAGCAGUAAGCAAAAAUGUCCAUGGUUGUGGUUGUGAACUCAUAAACUUAAAAUCUUGAAUCCGACUCUGAGCGUCAUGAUAGAUGCCAAAUUUUUAAAUGCUAGAGAACUCGAAAAUAAGAUGAAGUGUGCUUGUGACUUCUAA